GCGCCCGUAGUUCAGCCAGGUAGAACAGCGGACUCUUAAUCCGCGUGUCGUAGGUUCGAAUCCUACCGGGCGUACCA
rnacentral:tRNA from 1 species